GACGGGGGGUGCAAGCGUUAUCCGGAAUCACUGGGCGUAAAGCGUCUGUAGGUGGUGAUGCAAGUCACUGGUGUAAAACUCUGGCUCAACCGGAGGAAAGCCAGUGAAACUGCAUGACUAGAGUGUGGGAGAGGAAGAAGGAAUUCCCUGAGUAGCGGUGAAAUGCGUAGAUACAGGGAAGAACACCGGAGGCGACAGCGUUCUACUGGAACACAACUGACACUGAGAGACGAAAGCUAGGGGAGCGAAUGGG
rnacentral:rRNA from 1 species